rnacentral:rRNA from 1 species
ACACGUAGGGGGCGAGCGUUGUUCGGAAUCAUUGGGCGUAAAGGGCGUGCAGGCGGUCCUGCAAGUCCGGCGUGAAAGACCCCGGCCCAACCGGGGGGACGCGCUGGAAACUGCGGGGCUUGAGUACAGGAGGGGAUGCCGGAAUUCCAGGUGUAGGGGGGAAAUAUGUAGAUAUCUGGAAGAACACCAAUGGCGAAGGCAGGCAUCUGGCCAUGUACUGACGCUGAGACGCGAAGGUGCGGGGAGCAAACAGGUUUAGAUACCCUGGUAGUCCGCACAGUAAACGAUGUGCACCAGGUGGCGGGGGGUCGACCCUCGGUACCGUAGCUAACGCAUUAAGUGCACCGCCUGGGGAGUAUGCUCGCAAGGGUGAAACUCAAAGGAAUUGACGGGG